rnacentral:rRNA from 1 species
CGACUUAUAUUCUGUAGCAAGGUUAACCGAAUAGGGGAGCCGGAGGGAAACCGAGUCUUAAUUGGGCGUUAAGUUGCAGGGUAUAGACCCGAAACCCGGUGAUCUAGCCAUGGGCAGGUUGAAGGUUGGGUAACACUAACUGGAGGACCGAACCGACUAAUGUUGAAAAAUUAGCGGAUGACCUGUGGCUGGGGGUGAAAGGCCAAUCAAACCGGGAGAUAGCUGGUUCUCCCCGAAAGCUAUUUAGGUAGCGCCUCGUGAAUUCAUCUCCGGGGGUAGAGCACUGUUUCGGCUAGGGGGCCAUCCCGGCUUACCAACCCGAUGCAAACUGCGAAUACCGGAGAAUGUUAUCACGGGAGACACACGGCGGGUGCUAACGUCCGUCGUGAAGAGGGAAACAACCCAGACCGCCAGCUAAGGUCCCAAAGUCAUGGUUAAGUGGGAAACGAUGUGGGAAGGCCCAGACAGCCAGGAUGUUGGCUUAGAAGCAGCCAUCAUUUAAAGAAAGCGUAAUAGCUCACUGGUCGAGUCGGCCUGCGCGGAAGAUGUAACGGGGCUAAACCAUGCACCGAAGCUGCGGCAGCGACGCUGAUGCGUUGUUGGGUAGGGGAGCGUUCUGUAAGCCUGCGAAGGUGGCCUGUGAGGGUUGCUGGAGGUAUCAGAAGUGCGAAUGCUGACAUAAGUAACGAUAAAGCGGGUGAAAAGCCCGCUCGCCGGAAGACCAAGGGUUCCUGUCCAACGUUAAUCGGGGCAGGGUGAGUCGACCCCUAAGGCGAGGCCGAAAGGCGUAGUCGAUGGGAAACGGGUUAAUAUUCCCGUACUUGGUGUUACUGCGAAGGGGGGACGGAGAAGGCUAUGUUGGCCGGGCGACGGUU